rnacentral:lncRNA from 1 species
UACAGACAAUCUUUGCCAGAAACUAUGGGACAAAUAGUGAAACGUCUUAACACCGCUACUGUUCAGUUUCCCCCAUGCCCCCUGUUCAAUGUUGCUGUCAUAAAAAAAUAAUAUAUUACAAACGAGACGUCUUCUGGCAUAGGCGCAACAUUGAAACGGGUGGAGGGAGGGAGGGGGGAAUAUAUAUCUGCAUAAAAUGCGUAUUGUCUAUAUAACUUUCUUAAAACUAAAUUGUCCCAUAGUAUAAUGGCAAAGAUUGUAGGUG